rnacentral:rRNA from 1 species
GUGAGGAAUAUUGGACAAUGGGCGCAAGCCUGAUCCAGCCAUGCCGCGUGCAGGAAGACGCAUCUAUGGUGUGUAAACUGCUUUUGUACGGGAAGAAACACUCCCUCGUGAGGGAGCUUGACGGUACCGUAAGAAUAAGGAUCGGCUAACUCCGUGCCAGCAGCCGCGGUAAUACGGAGGAUCCAAGCGUUAUCCGGAAUCAUUGGGUUUAAAGGGUCCGUCGGCGGUUUAAUAAGUCAGUGGUGAAAGCCCAUCGCUCAACGAUGGAACGGCCAUUGAUACUGUUAGACUUGAAUUACAAGGAAGUAACUAGAAUAUGUAGUGUAGCGGUGAAAUGCUUAGAUAUUACAUGGAAUACCAAUUGCGAAGGCAGGUUACUACUUGUGGAUUGACGCUGAUGGACGAAAGCGUGGGGAGCGAACAGGAUUAGAUACCCUUGUAGUCC